AACUGUCUACUCCAUUUAACUAUACAUAGGAUGGGUGGGAAGCUGCAGGCGCCAAGGAAAAAACUCCAGUUCUUUUUGACACUAACCUAACAGACAUGUUUUUGGUGGUGGGACGAAACACAACACGGGAACAUGCAAACUCCAGAACAGAAAGGCCCUGCCCAGGGAUCGAACCCCAGUACUCAGAAAUGCUGAGUCACUGGGGCUCCAUGCCACCCGAAUAGGCGAUUCCUCUCUAACUGGGACGUUUUGGGACCGGUUGGUGGGAUUGCUGUGGACGAGGUCCACUCGUUGAUACACUGGUCCUUGUCUUUCUCCUGGGCGUCCUGCUCUCUGUUCCUUACCUCACCUUGCAGAGAGGCCCGGGCUCGUUCCAGCUGCUGCUCCAGACUGGACACCUGCGGACAAAAACAACAUGAGCGUCCAUGUUUAUUUUUAAAAAAAAGGUAGAAAGCUAAUGAGAUCCCAGGGAAUUAAGAACGACACUAAAGAAACCCUCAAUUCUAAUGAAGGAACAGUGUCUUGUAGUGUAGGCUUGACUUCAUUCUCAAAACUAUGAAAACUAAACACUCUCUCCCUACAGGCAAUCUGAUAUCUUGUCUGUUACCCAGAACAAACCUUCAUGUAUACUUCAUGUCCCUGUAUGGCUCUGCUCACUGAAUGGAGACCGUUGUGCUCUUUUUGUUAUGAAGGACAGAAAGCAAAAUCAGCUGUUCAAAUGUGCCGAACUAUCAAAUACAUCCCUCAGGCAAUGAGACUGAUUGAAGUUUGUGAUAUGUGUGGGGAGACAGUAAGUCUGCAUAUUAAGAGUACUGCUAUACUUACAAUUAUCCUCUGCUUCUGCUUGCUAAUACAAUUUACAGCUUCAAUAAAAAAAUGUCAAUCUUU